CGACGCGGGCACUUGUGCCCGAGUGGCGAACGGGUGAGUAAUACAUAAGUAACCUGGCCUUUACAGGGGGAUAACUGCUGGAAACGGCAGCUAAGACCACAUAGGUAGGGACACUGCAUGGUGACCGUAUUAAAAGUGCUGCAAGGCACUGGUAGAGGAUGGACUUAUGGCGCAUUAGCUGGUUGGUGAGGUAACGGCUCACCAAGGCGACGAUGCGUAGCCGACCUGAGAGGGUGACCGGCCACACUGGGACUGAGACACGGCCCAGACUCCUACGGGAGGCAGCAGUAGGGAAUUUUCGGCAAUGGGGGGAACCCUGACCGAGCAACGCCGCGUGAAGGAAGAAGGAAUUCGUUCUGUAAACUUCUGUUAUAAAGGAAGAAAGACGGAUGGAGGAAAUGACAUCCGAGUGACGGUACUUUAUGAGAAAGCCACGGCUAACUACGUGCCAGCAGCCGCGGUAAUACGUAGGUGGCAAGCGUUAUCCGGAAUUAUUGGGCGUAAAGAGGGAGCAGGCGGCAGCAAAGGUCUGUGGUGAAAGACUGAAGCUUAACUUCAGUAAGCCAUAGAAACCGGGCAGCUAGAGUGCAGGAGAGGAUCGUGGAAUUCCAUGUGUAGCGGUGAAAUGCGUAGAUAUAUGGAGGAACACCAGUGGCGAAGGCGACGAUCUGGCCUGCAACUGACGCUCAGUCCCGAAAGCGUGGGGAGCAAAUAGGAUUAGAUACCCUAGUAGUCCACGCCGUAAACGAUGAGUACUAAGUGUUGGAAGUCAAAUUUCAGUGCUGC
rnacentral:rRNA from 1 species